rnacentral:other from 1 species
AGUAUUCUGCGGUGUUAGUUGUCUCAUAUAAUUCAACCGACAAUAUAGACACGGGUGUCUACGUUUAACAGUGGAUAGCAAGCCCUCCUGAAGGGAAGUUAGAAGUUGUUAACAGGAAUCCCACCUUUAAAAAGGCGGGCGUGAAUUAGCUGGGAGGACGGCAUUGCGGUAACAA